rnacentral:lncRNA from 1 species
GCAUCAUCAUUGAGGUUGAGAUUCAAAAAUUCGUGUUUGAGGAAGAAGAAGAGGAUAUACAAAUUGCGUAAUUGGUUCAUUGACUCAAUUUUAUUCAAGAUUGUCUCUCUCUUUGAAGCAAUUGUUAUGGUUUCUACCUUAGCUUUCUUCUUAUUCUCUUAUGGUUUUUGUAUUUGAUAUAUUCUCUGUAAACCAAGGGUUCAUUAUUAUUGGACAAAAGUUGAUAUCUAAUGGGGUGUAAGGUUCAUUUGAUUUAUUUAGUUUUCUUUGCUGAUAUUCUCGUGUUUAUACACUAGGGUUCCCAUUUUGCCGUUCAGUUUUUCGAUUUCGACGUUUUCUUUAUUGUUCAUGACUCAAUAAAAUACAUAAUUCAAUAAAUAAGUAAACAACUUAUAUAUAAUAAAUUCGAAGUAUGAAUUCAAGUAAUUACAACAGUUGGGUUUUAAAAUGUGUCAAUGAGAAAUGAAGAGUUGUGACUUUUAUGAAAGGUUGUGACCUUUCCGAAAGAUUGUGGUUUUUCCAAAAGGUUGUGGCAUUUUCGGUAAGGUACAAUAAGAUCAUUUUCACACUACCCUUUGUUUUAUUAUAAAUUGAGGGAUUUCCUCUCAUUUUAAGAGAACCAAUUUUCUGGACUUCUUCUACUAUUACUACUAAAUCUAGUAUUCUAAGUGUAUAUUAUUGUUGUUGAGUGGUUCGCUGACACCGUAGUUUUAGGUACCAAUACACCGGUAAGUAAGAUCGUUCUAUUCUGGGAGGAUAUAUUUCAUUAACCUCGGGUACUUGAGGGGAAUAAUUUCCUUAAGGGGACACUGUGCAUUCAGUGGACUCAAUUUUCUUCUUUAAGAAAAUAUUUUGUAUAUUGUUUCUAAUAUGUUUCUGAUUCUAUUUUCUCUACUAGUUUUAAUUUUCUAGUUUUGAAAAUACUCUUUAAAUGUUGUUGUUUCUUAUCAAGUUCUUCAAAGUUUUUGUUCUAAGUAUCUUAGGAAUACAACAUGACCAACAAUCUUAAGGCAAUUAGUAUAGUACUAUUAAUACUAGAAAACUUGUCCGCGCUUCGCGCGGUAUAACAAUAAUUUAAAAUAAACUUUUUAUAAAUUACCUAUUCAUGAAAUAUAAGUUGCAGUACUUCAAGUUCAUAUGAUUUUUUUUUUUGCCAAAACCCUUAUAUUCAUAAGUUAUAAUAGUUAAUCAAUAAUAAGAAGGACAUUAAUAUUUUGAUAUAUUAUGUUAGCAAAAUAGAAAAUUAAUGAAUCAGAAAUAAUUUAACAAUCUAAAAGUGAUUACUUUUAAAUCUAUAAUACAAUAUGAAUAAAGCUUGAAUUUUGUAGGUCAUCAACUUUUAUUGAAAAAUAAAAAUAAAACUAAAAGUAUAAUAGUACUAUGAAUGACCCAGUAUCGACUAAAAGCAACAUUGAUAUUAAUUUGCUCAAAUCAAAUAAUAAGAAUAUCGACUAAGAACAACAUUGAUACUGGGUCAUUCAUAGAUUAUUUCUUAUUAUUUGAUCUGAGCAAAUUAAUAUCAAUGUUGCUUUUAGUCGAUACUGGGUCAUUCAUAGUACUAUUAUACUUUUAGUUUUAUUUUUAUAUUUCAAUAGACAUUUAAGAACAGCAUUGAUAUACUUAUAACAUAUAGAUAUCGAUCUUUAGUAGAAGAAAUAAUCUAAGAAUUCAAAAUAAAACGAUAAAUCAAAUUCUAUUUAUAUAUUAAAAAAAUACAUUUUUUAUGCAGUUUAUGACAAUUAAUUUUUGAAAUAAAUAAAGAAAUAAAAAAGUAAAAAGAAAAAAGAAAUGAUUUAAGGAAAUGAUACACAUAACAUUAUUGAUGAAUUUAAGGAAAGAAAUUUAAAAAAUUAAUAGCAUCAAUGAUGAAAUGAUUUAAAUAUGGGCGUAUUUGAUAAUUCAAUAAGGUUUUGAGGUAGAAUUUUUAGUCUUUCCAAAAUUUGGAAAAGUAUAAAAAAAAAUAGAAAAAUAAUAAAUAAACUUCCACAUAAUUUUUAACAAUUAGUAAGGAAAAUAUAACAGAAAAUGUCAAAAAAAAUUGAUUAAAAUAAACAAAUAUCUGAAAUAAGAAGGUUGUCAUCUUUUUCUAAUUUUAAUUUUAUUAUUACGCAUAUAUAUGAAUCUUUAGCCGAAAGAAGCGAUAUAAAUUAAAAAAGUUAAAUUUCAUAAAAAAAAAAUAUAUGUGAUUCUUACCAUGUUAUAAUUACUAAUUUCUUGUAAAAAAUAAAUUAAAAAAGGUAAAAGAAUUAUAAAAAAAAAAAGCAUUAAGGAAAUGAUAUGAAUGAAAGUAAUAAUCAAGAUGAAGUAAGAAAAAAUAAUAUGAUUGAUGAUGAAUGGAAUUAAAUGUAGUCACUUUGAUAUUCACUAAAAUUUGAAAGUAAAAUUUUCAGUUUUUUAAAAUAAUUCUUUUUAUAAAAUUUAAAAAACGAAAAAAAAACAAUAAAAUAAAACAAACUUCAAUCAAAGUUAUAUUAAAGAAAUAAAACAAACUUCAAUUAAAUUUCUUCAAUUAAAGUUAUAUAAAAGGGAAAAAAAACUACAAUUAAAGAUAGAUAGGGAAAAAACAUUUUAAGAGAAAAAUAACAAAAAAAAACGGAAAUUAGAAAUAAAUGACAAAUUAAAGUCUAUUUCUGUAUUAAAAAAUGCAUUUUUUAAAAUAAAGUUAUAACAAUUAAUUUUUAAAAUAAAUAAAUAAAAAGAACAAAGAAAGGAAAAAAUUAAUUUAAGGAAAUGAUAUAAAUUACAUUAAUGAUGAGUUUAAGGAAAGAAAAUUUUAAAAAUUAAUAGCAUCUAUGAUGAAAAGGAUUUAAAUAUGGUCAUAUUUUGAUAUUCUGCAAAAUUUUCAAGGUAAAAUUUUCAUUAUUUUUAAAAAAAUAGGAAAAAUGCACAAAAUAAGAAUUAGAAAAAUAAAUAAAUAAACUUCUAGACACAAUUUUUAGCAAUUAUUUUAAGAAAAUAUAAAGAGAAAAAUGUCAUAAAAAUAUGAUAAAAUAAAUAAAUAUAGGUUGUCAUCCUUUUCUAAUUUUAACUUUAUUAUUACGUAUAGAUAUGAAUCUUUUAACAGAAGAAAUGAUCUAUGUUUAAAUAAAAUAAACUAAAUUUCGUAAAAUAUAUAUGCAAUUCUUACCAAUUUAUAAUAACUAUUUUCUUGUAACAAAAAAAUAAAUAAAAAGUAAGAAAGAAAGAAAGAGAAAAAAGCAAUUUAAAGAAAUGAUAUAAAUGAGAAUAAAGAGAUCAAACUAAGGCAAGGAAGUAAAAAAAAAGUAUGAUUAAUGAUGAAUGAAAUUAAAUAUUCAAUAAAUUUGAAAGUGAAAUUUUCAGUCGUUUAAAAUUAAAAAAAAUAUAUUAAAUUUAAAAACAAAAACAAAAAACUACAAAAAUAUAGACAAACUUCUGUUAAAAAUAUAUAAAAGAUAAUAAAACAAACUUUAAUUAAAGAUAGAUAAGGAAAAAUAAAUAAUUAUUAAUUUUGAAUCUGUCAACUUAAAAAUGUUACUCCCUUAAGUCAUACUAGGUGAUGUUUUUAGCUUCGAUAAAUCUAAAAAAGCAUGUGAAAUGUCAUUAAAAAAAUAAUUUAAUUCAACGAUAUAAAAUAAUAUUAACAAGUACGUACAUAUCUUCUACGUGAUUCCCACUUUCUUUGAAUUCACUAUCUCUUUCCUAAAGGGUGCAAUUAAGUCAUGCUAUUCAUAAAGGGUGCAUCCAGCCCCCCACUUUUGAUAAUUCAUAAAUACCUUUUUUCCACAACCUUAUAUAUAGGUACACCAAAACCCCCUCAUUGCCUCAUCAAACUCAUCAUCUAUAUUGUUCUAUAUCCAAAGAAACAAACUAAGUCAAGAAUCCAAGUGAAAAUAGUUGUUACAUUCAAGUUAUUUAGAUAUGAAAGCAGAAGGUUAUUUGUUGUCACUCAAGAUGCUAAACAAGAACAAUAUUGAAAAUAUUAGCGCGCCUAAACGUGUUAGCAAUGUUGGUGGUUCUCAAGAUGAAAAUAAUUGUAGUACUAAGACAUCAUCGUUGAGGUUGAGAUUCAAGAAUUCGUGUUUGAGGAAGAAGAAGAGAAUAUACAAAUUGCGCAAAUGGUUCAUUGACUCAAUUUUAUUCAAGAUUGUCUCUCUUUUUGAAGCAAUUGUUAUGGUUUCUACCUUAGCUUUCUUCUUAUUCUCUUAUGGCUUUCGUAUUUAAUUCUUAUUUGUAUCUAUAUAUAUUCUCUGUAAACAAGGCUUCAUUUUGGACAAAAGUGGAUAUGUAAUGGGGUGUAAGGUUCAUUUGAUUUAUUAAUUUAGUUUUCUUUAUUGAUAUUCUCAUGUUUAUACACUAGGAUUCCCAUUUUUCGAUUUAGACAUUUUCUUUUUUGUUCAUGACUCAAUAAAAUGCAUACUUAAACAAAUAAGUAAAUAACUUAUCUCCCCCUUGGAUCAUUCGUCCUUGAAUGACGGCUGAACUGGGUAUGGAAUGGGGUUACUCUUAUCAUCUCCUCUGACCCAUGAACUUGUGUAACGACCUAUUCUCGUCGUUAUAAAAAAAUCAACGGGGAAAAAUUUUGGGCCGGAAAACUUUUUCGUAGUAUCUUGUGAUUUUCCAACCUAGUCCAGAUUUAAACGAAAUCAGAGUCAUUAAAGUAUAGGGAAAUCUGGUAACAAUUGUGUGGUCCAAUUUUGAAUUUGAUCACAUCAGUGGAUAGCUAAGACGUUAAGGAAUUCGUACGACUUUACAGAAUUGAAUUCAGGCAAGUAGAACUUCCGAAAUUGACCUUAGCGUGAACGGGUAUUCUCUAAGUGUCAUGGGAUGAAGGUGGGUAGUGAAAUGGGAGUUUGGAAUUCUUAAAUCGACUCACUGGUCCGUGCAAGCCGCUAAGGCGGGAUUAUUCCCGCUAGGGCAGGGCAACUGUAGUGGGGUGAGUACCGCUGUGGCGAGACAGUCGCGACUUAAAGUCGGAAAUAAACCCCAAAAUCAUUUAUUCUGCAAUUUCGAACUUGAGAGCUAAGGAACGAACCCAGGGGUUUUCUUGACAGUUUUCCACCAUUCUUGAGGCUAAAGGUAAGAUUUUAACUCCCCGAAUCCGUUUUUCGACCGUAGAACGUAAUCUAAUGGGUAAUUAUCGAUGGGGGAUGGUUUUGAUCUGGAAAUUAUGGUGGAAAAAGGCCUAAUCUGGGUAUAAGGAUCAUGGGUUUGAUCUAGGGUUGAUAGGAUUGUUGGUAAUCCGAGUAAUUAGUUAUUGUUUAUUGAUUUCCGUGUUAUAAUGAUUAUUUGUAGACCAAGACAAGUGGAACGAAUCCGGAAAGGGAAGGAUCAAGUUUCUUAGGGGAUUCAAGGUAGGUGAUGUAUGUUUGUUCUUGCUUUAUUAUGAUACAUGUUUGUAUACAAAUGUUGCAUUAUUGAUCACAUUAAUUUUAAAUAAGGAUAGAUGAAUGAUGAAUUCCAUGAAUCAUGACUUGAUUGUAAGAUUGUGAGAAUGUACUUUGUGAUUGUGAUUGUGGCUUAUUGAAUGGAUCAGGUGUUGCGUUCCGACACACUAACUUGGAUCGAUUGCCACGUUCUAGCAUAAUUAUGUGAUCGGUUGCCACGUUCCGGCAUAAUCAUUGGAUUGGGUACCACGUUCCGGUAUGCGAACAGUUUGGGUUUGGGUUCCAUGAGAGGACCAUUGACUUGACAUAACUGUAUAAUUGAGACUUGUGAAAUGCUCCAUUGUUAUUUAAUGUUGUUGAUAUUGAAUAUAUUCGGUAUAUGCAUGUUAUUAUAUUGUUGUAAUGGCUUAUGUAUGUUGCACUUGUGGGAUAGCCGCAUGAUCCUACCAGUACACUGUGGUUUUGUACUGAUACUGCACUUGCUCUUUCUUUGUUGAGUACAUGACAUCUUCAGGUAGCUAUUAACAGACCUCGCUUCAAGGGUGAGCCAGUUCUUCUAGGCUGCCAUGAGUUCUCUUUCUGUCUAUGUCCAUAUUUCGGACUUAGACUAGUUCUUUAGUUAGUCUUAUGUUUAGUUUGGGGUUGUAUUCCUUCUUAUUUAGACUCAUGGUUGAACUUUAGAUGUUUUGGUACGUUGACUUUCAGGUUCUUGGCGUAUUUUUCCGCAUUUGUUUAGUUGUUAGACUAUUUUUUGGAGUUUAUGGGAACUCUAUAUUCCUUUCCUUAGCAUUUAACUUGUUUUCGUAACUUAAAUGCCUUAGUAUUUUGGUUGCGUUGUUAGUUUGGGUUGUAGUAAUGGUUCUCCCACUGGAGGAUUAGUGUAGGUGCCAAUCACGAUGGUCUGGGUCGUGAACAAGUUGGUAUCAAACCCCUAGGUUCGUUGAUCUUGAUAUACCAAAACGAGUUUAGUAGAGUCUUGCGGAACGGUAUAUAGACGUCUAUACUUUUCUUCGAAAGGCUAUAGGACUUUAGGAAAUCUCUCUAUUUUCUCUUGACUCCUUUCGUGCUAUAACUUGAUUCCAAUUGGUAUCUGUCGAUUCGAAUUGGUAUCUAACCUCUUUCACUCUUCUGUCCGCAGAUGGUUAACACUAGAUUCAACAGCGUCAGGCUCGUAGCUUCCAUCAAUGCUCUAGCUGAGGAAUCUGCAGCAAAAGGUCCUGGUCGAGGCAGGGGUAGAGGAAGAGCUAGGGGUAGAGGCCGAGGAAGGGUGGCGCCUACUAUGGAUGGAGCACCGGUUGGAGAUGCUCCCAGAAAUGAGUCCCCUCCUGCGCACCAUGAAGAGGUAGAGGAGAACAUGGAAGUUGAGAAUGUUGGACAAGAGGAAGAGGUGCAGGCUGAGACUACAGGUAUUCCUCAUUUGGACCCAGUGUUAGCUCAAAAUAUUAUGUCGUUCUUAAAAGGAUUGGUUGGUCCUGGAGUGCUUCCCUCUGUUCAAGCAACUCAAGCUCCCGCCAAUCCUCUUAUUUCUAUCACUGUCCCAAGGUGGGUGGAACUGGAGGUAAUGAUGAUUUCUUCCAUCCUUUGUUGGGUCCAAUUAUGACUGGUAAUGAGCAUGAGAUGUUGACUAAGUUCUUGAAGUUGAAACCGCCUGUGUUCCAUGGUUCUGAGAGUGAGGAUGCAUAUGAGUUCAUCCUAGAUUGCUAUGAGAUGAUUCAUAAGUUGGGAAUUGUCCAUCAACAUGGGGUUGAGUUCGUGACUUUUCAGCUUCAAGGUGAGGCUAAGCAGUGGUCAUUCGCUAGUUAGUAAGGCACAAGGGGGUACUAAGACUCCUACAUGUGCUAAGUAUAGUAGAAACCACUCAGGGAUGUGUCGUGAUGACUCCACUAGUUGCUUUCAAGUGUGGCCAGAACGGUCAUUUUAUGAGAGAGUGUCCUAAGAGUAUGCAGGGUAACGGUAAUGGGGGUAAUAGAGCCCAGUCUUCUUCAGUUGCUCCACCAGACAGAGCUGCAUCUAGAGGAGCUAAUUCAGGGGCAAGCGGAGGAGGAAAUCGUCUGUAUGCUAUCACUAGUCACCAAGAGCAAGAGGAUUCACCAGAUGUUGUCACUGGUAUGAUCUAAGUCUUCAAUUUUGAUGUUCUUCCUGAGCAACUUCUUGAGCCUUCAGUGUUUCUACACCUGAUGGUGAGUCUAUUCUAGCAGAAAGAGUCUAUCGUGAUUAUUAUGUUUCCGUCAAUCACAAGAGUACCAUGGUUGAUUUAGUUGAGUUAGACAUGGUAGAUUUUGAUGUCAUUCUAGGUAUGGACUGGCUGCAUGCCUGUUAUGCAUCAAUAGAUUGUAGAACUCGAGUAGUUAAGUUCCAGUUUCUAGUGAACCAGUUAUAGAGUUGAAGAGCAGUUCAGCAGUGCCUAAGGGUCAUUUUAUUACGUACCUUAAGGCGAGAAAGUUAGUUUCCAAUGGGUGUGUCUAUCACUUAGUCCGAGUUAAUGACAUAAGUGUUGAGAUACCUCUUAUUCAGUCAGUUCCUAUAGUAAAAGAGUUUCCAGAAGUCUUUCCAGAUGAUCUACCCGGAGUCUCUCCUGAGAGAGAGAUAGACUUCGGUAUAAAUGUUCUUCCAGAUACUCGUCCUAUAUCUAUUCCGCCAUACAGAACGACACUAGCAGAGUUGAAAGAGCUUAAAGAGCAGUUGAAAGAUCUUUUAGAGAAAGGUUUCAUUCGACCAAGUUUCUCACCUUGGGGAGCUCCGGUCUUAUUUGUGAGAAAGAAAGAUGGUUCCCUUAGGAUGUGUAUAGAUUACCGCCAGUUGAACAAGGUUACCAUCAAGAAUAAGUAUCCUCUUCCGAGAAUUGAUGAUCUUUUUAUCAACUUCAGGGUGCUUCUUGUUUUUCUAAGAUAGACCUCAGAUCUGGCUACCAUCAGUUGAGAGUAAGGGAAUGUGAUAUUCCAAAGACAACAUUCAGGACCCGUUAUGGUCAUUAUGAGUUCUUAGUUAUGUCCAUUGGUUUGACCAAUGCGCCUACAACAUUCAUGGAUCUUAUGAAUAUAGUAUUCAAACCUUAUUUAGAUAUGUUUGUUAUCGACUUCAUCGAUGACAUACUAAUAUAUUCAAGGAAUANNNNNNNCCUCUUCCGAGGAUUGAUGAUCUUUUCGAUCAGCUUCAGGGUGCUUCUUAUUUUUCAAAAAAAGACCUCAGAUUCGGCUACCAUUAAUUGAAGGUAAGGGAAUGUGAUAUUCCCAAGACAACAUUCAGGACCCGUUAUGGUCAUUAUGAGUUCUUAGUUAUGUCCAUUGGUUUGACCAAUGCGCCUACAACAUUCAUGGAUCUUAUGAAUAUAGUAUUCAAACCUUAUUUAGAUAUGUUUGUUAUCGACUUCAUCGGUGACAUACUAAUCUAUUCAAGGAAUGAAGAAGAUCAUGCUAGCCAUCUCAAGAUAGUUAUUCAGACUUUGAAAGAUAAGGAGUUAUAUGCUAAUAAGUUCUUUAAAUGCGAGUUUUGGCUUGAGUCUGUGGCAUUCUUGGGUCACAUAGUUUCCGGUGAUGGAAUUAGAGUUGAUACCCAAAAGAUAGAGGCAGUGCAGAGUUGGCCUAGACCCACAUCUCCAACUGAUAUUAUGAGUUUCUUAGGUUUGGCUGGAUAUUAUAGAACGUUCGUAGAGGGGUUCUCGUCUAUUUCGUCCCCUUUGACCAAGUUAACUCAGAAAACAGCGAAGUUUCAAUUGUCUGAAGCUUGUGAGAAAAGCUUUCAGGAAUUGAUAAAGAGGUUGACUACUGCCCAGGUUUUGACGCUACCAGAAGGUACUCAAGGUUUUGUGGUGUAUUGUGAUGCAUCUACAAUUGGCUUGGGUUGUGUAUUAAUUAAUGCAGAAUGGUAAAGUUAUAGCUUAUGCCUCCAGACAGUUGAAGAAAAAUUACCCAACCCAUGACUUAGAGUUGGCUACCUUAGUAUUUGCUUUGAAGAUAUGGCGUCAUUUGUAUGGUGUUCAUGUUGAUGUAUUCACUGAUCACAAGAGUCUUCAAUAUGUGUUCACUCACAAAGAGCUUAAUCUCAGACAAAGGAGGUGGUUAGAAUUACUCAAGGAUUAUGACAUGAGUAUUCUUUACCACCCAGGUAAGGCUAAUGUUGUUGAUGAUGCUUUAAGUAGGUUGUCUAUGGGUAGUACUGCCCAUGUGGAGGAGGAAAAGAAAGAGUUAGCGAAAGAUGUGCAUAGACUUGCACGCUUAAGAGUCCGACUGAUGGAUUCCACAGAAGGAGGAGUAGUGGUGAUGAAUGGGGUUGAAUCAUCAUUAAUGUCAGAAGUAAAAGAGAAGCAAGACCAAAAUCCCAUUUUGCUUGAAUUGAAGGCAAAUGUUCAUAAGCAGAAAGUUAUGGCUUUUGAACAAGGGGGAGAUGUCGUACUGCGAUAUCAAGGUAGAUUGUGUGUACCAAUGGUGGAUGGACUCCAAGGGAGGAUCAUGGAGGAAGCUCAUAGCUCUAGAUAUUCCAUUCACCUGGAUUUCACAAAGAUGUAUUGUGACUUGAGAGAGGUAUAUUGGUGGAAUAGUAUGAAGAAGGGCAUUGCAGAAUUUGUUGUUAGGUGUCCAAAUUGCCAACAAGUUAACGUAGAGCAUGAAAUGCCCAAUGGUUUGGCUCAGAAUAUAGAACUUCCGGAAUGGAAGUGGGAGAUGAUAAACAUGGAUUUCAUCACAGGCUUGCCAAGGUUUCGCACGCAUCAUGACUCCAUUUGGGUGAUUGUUGAUAGAAUGACAAAAUCAGCCCACUUUUUGCAGGUAAAGACUACCCUUUCAACAGAAGAUUAUGCCAGGUUGUAUAUUCAGGAGGUGGUAAGACUUCAUGGAGUCCCUGUUUCGAUUAUAUCAGAUAGGGUGCUCAAUUUACUACACAGUUUUGGAAGUCAUUCCAGAAAGGCCUGGGUUCAAAGGUGAACUUGAGUACUGCUUUUCAUCCUCAGAUAGAUGGUCAAGCAGAGAGCACUAUUCAGACCUUAGAGGAUAUGUUGAGGGCAUGUGUGAUUGAUUUCAAAGGUAAUUGGAAUAAUCACCUACCCCUUAUUGAAUUUGCAUACAAUAAUAGUUCCACUCUAGCAUCCAGAUGGCUCCACAUGAAGCUCUUUAUGGGAGAAGAUGCAGAUAUCCUAUUGGAUGGUUUGAAGUUGGUGAAGCAGGGUUGAUAGGACCAGAUUUAGUUCAUCAAGCUAUGGAGAAGGUGAAAGUAAUUCAAGAGAGGUUGAAAACUGCACAGGGUCGUCAAAAAUCCUACACUGAUGUUAGGAGAAGGGAGUUAGAGUUUGAAGUAGAUGAUUGGGUAUAUCUAAAAGUCUCACCCAUGAAGGGUGUUAUGAAGUUUGGUAAGAAGGGGGAACUUAGUCCCCGAUAUAUUGGACCUUAUCGAAUAUCCAAGAGGAUUGCCAAGGUAGCUUAUGAGUUAGAGCUACCACAAGAGUUAGUCGCGGUUCAUCCAGUGUUUCGCAUCUCCAUGUUGAAGAAGUCCAUGAGCGAUCCUUCAUUGAUCACAUCAACUGAAAAUAUUGGGAUCAAGGAUAGCUUAUCUUAUGAGGAAAUCCGGUUCAGAUUCUAGAUCGCCAAGUUCGCAAGUUAAGGACAAAAGAGGNNNNNNNNNNNNNNNNNNNNNNNNNNNNNNNNNNNNNNNNNNNNNNNNNNNNNNNNNNNNNNNNNNNNNNNNNNNNNNNNNNNNNNNNNNNNNNNNNNNNNNNNNNNNNNNNNNNNNNNNNNNNNNNNNNNNNNNNNNNNNNNNNNNNNNNNNNNNNNNNNNNNNNNNNNNNNNNNNNNNNNNNNNNNNNNNNNNNNNNNNNNNNNNNNNNNNNNNNNNNNNNNNNNNNNNNNNNNNNNNNNNNNNNNNNNNNNNNNNNNNNNNNNNNNNNNNNNNNNNNNNNNNNNNNNNNNNNNNNNNNNNNNNNNNNNNNNNNNNNNNNNNNNNNNNNNNNNNNNNNNNNNNNNNNNNNNNNNNNNNNNNNNNNNNNNNNNNNNNNNNNNNNNNNNNNNNNNNNNNNNNNNNNNNNNNNNNNNNNNNNNNNNNNNNNNNNNNNNNNNNNNNNNNNNNNNNNNNNNNNNNNNNNNNNNNNNNNNNNNNNNNNNNNNNNNNNNNNNNNNNNNNNNNNNNNNNNNNNNNNNNNNNNNNNNNNNNNNNNNNNNNNNNNNNNNNNNNNNNNNNNNNNNNNNNNNNNNNNNNNNNNNNNNNNNNNNNNNNNNNNNNNNNNNNNNNNNNNNNNNNNNNNNNNNNNNNNNNNNNNNNNNNNNNNNNNNNNNNNNNNNNNNNNNNNNNNNNNNNNNNNNNNNNNNNNNNNNNNNNNNNNNNNNNNNNNNNNNNNNNNNNNNNNNNNNNNNNNNNNNNNNNNNNNNNNNNNNNNNNNNNNNNNNNNNNNNNNNNNNNNNNNNNGUAUCAAGGAUAGCUUAUCUUAAGAGGAGAUUCCUAUUGAGAUUCUAGAUCGCCAAGUUCGCAAGUUGAGAACAAAAGAGGUAGCAUCAAUCAAAGUCCUUUGGAGAAACCAAUUUAUUGAGGAAUCUACUUAGGAAGCUGAAGAGGACAUGAAGAAGAGAUAUCCACAUCUCUUUGAAUCCAGAGAAAGUGCAGACCAAGGUACUAAUUCUCUUCUUAGUACUCUUUAAAUUAUGAAUAAGCAUGUUGUUUGUUUGCAUUUGCUUGUUAGGUGUUUGAACCUGAUAAUACACCCUUAGCCUAGUAAGAGUAAUCUCAUUCGAGGAUGAAUGUUCCCAAGGGGGAGAUAUUGUAACAUCUCGCAAAAUUGAAAUAACUAGGAAGAAGCCAAUAAUUGGAAAUAGUCAUUUUUGGAAAGAAUGAAAAUCUGGAAAUUUUGUUAAAGUUAGAAUAAGUUGAGUUUUGGUCAACUUCAAAUGGACAUAACUUCUAGAUCAGGAUGAGUUAAGUGUACUUCCAGAUAUGGUAGGAAAGCUCUUGGAAUGAUCUUUCCAACGCCGCUGAAUUUGCGCGAUUCCGAGUUUGUAUGAGUGAGUUAUGCCCUUUGGAAGUUGGGUUGUUGGAAUAAGGAAAGUCCAAUCCGGAUUUUGGAAGGGUAAUUUAGUAUUUUCCUUACCUAAUUAUUCUAAUUCAUUUUUAGGAGUUUAAUUGGAGUAAAGUCAGAUUUUAGUCAGUUUAGAAAAGUGAAUUUUAUGCUAGGGCUUGGAGAAGAGGAGAAAAGAGGACUUGUGGUUUUCGUCGGGGGUGAUCCCUACAAGGUAUGGGAGAUCACAUAGCGUUGGGUUAGUUCACCCACGCGCCCAACUUGAUUCAAUUUCAGCUAAGUAUAUUGAUUUGAAAGUAAAUCCCUUGAAUUCUUGAUGAAGUUCGUUUGAAUCCUUGUGGGUUGUGUAGUUGGAGUUUUCUUGAAAUUGAUUCACGCUAUUCAUUGUGUUUUCGAGUGGAAUCUGAUGUUAUUUGAGGGUAUAAAUGAUUCUAAGUGUUUGGGGAAAGAACCCAUGGAGUUUAAAGGGUUUAGAGCUGUAAAACGAAGAAGAAAAUUUCGUCGGACAAAUCUGGGCAGUGCCUCCGCGUCGCGGACCGUUCUUCCUUAAAAGUUGUUUUCGAAACAAAAAUUUUAAUGUUUCUCCGCGUCGCGGGCCCACCCUCAGACAGUGAAUUUUUUUUAUCUUUUCUCAUGUUUAGCUAUCUAAAUUCAUCCCUAAACAUCAUGAGAUCUUUCCUAUCACAAAUCACAAUCCUUGAAUCCAUAAUUCAAUUCAAGGAAAGUUAAUAGUCAAGUUAGAAGUUAAGAAGUAAGUCAAGAGAAGUUCUUUAAAGCUUUCAAAAGUCUUUCACAAGCGUUUUAACUUUGUUAUAAGACUUAAGUUUUAAGUUAAGCAAAGAGUAAAGAUUUGAAGUUCAUUUCUUCAAAGAAGUAUAUGCGGACUAUGUAUUCCCCAAGAGUUUAAAAUGUUUUCACAUUUGAGCAAGAAAGGGAACAUCAAUUCCAAGAGAGCUUUUAAGCUAAGUUUUUGAGUAAUUAUCUCAAAUCAAAGAAAGAAGUUUGUUUUAAAAACAUAUGAGCUAAGUAUAUUUUAGGAGUAGUAUUGAGCACCGAAAUGGGGAUGGGAGUUCAUAUUAACUCAAGUCUCCAUAAACCAUGUAGCCCUCAUGGGUAGUAAAGGAUCAUACUUUUUAGAUGACUCCUUAAGAUGCUUUUAGCAUAAGCUAGUGGAUCUACUAAGUUAAGCGUUCUAUAUGACGGCAAAGUAUAGGACAGUUCUGGUAGCAUGGGAAAGACGUUGUAUCACCACUUAGACACAUAGUGGUGAUUGUCGGUUAGAUAAUCUCCCACAGAAACUAUAUUACUUUAUUAUAUAAGUAAAGUUGAAUUUCUUAUUGCAUUUUCUUAAACGAACUAAGUUGUUUUCCAUUGUUUUACAAGCUUUAUAUAUACUGCAUGUGUUUAAUUACUUUAUAUUGAGUUGAGUUGUUCAGGAGUUGAGUAAAGUCAAGGUAAGUGUUCCUUCCAGAUUCUUCUCAAGCUUAAGUUGUGUUUAGCAUUCCAACUCGCAUACUCGUACAUACAAUGUAUUGAUGCCAGUCGGCCUGCAUCGUCUUAUGAUACAGACGCAGGUAACCAGGAUCAGCAUCUAGCGCCUCAUUGAUCCAGUUUGAGCACUCAGAGUCUUGUGGUGAGCCUCCUUGCUUCCGGAGGAUUCCUUUUUUUUGUUUUUUAGUUUUAUUAUUAGUUCAUUAGGAUGUCGUGGGCCUAUCCCGACAUCCAUCUCAGUUGUUUAGAGGCUUCAUAGAUAGACAGACAGUCAGUUAGUUAAAUUCAUUUGUCACUACUUUAUUAUUAGCUUAUGUUUUUGAGACUUAAGGUUGCCAUUUUGGCCAAGUUGAAUGUUGACUUUUAAACAUUCUAAGUUAUGAUAUAAUUUAAGUGAGUAUAGUGCUUUUCAUCAUUAUAAAUAUGCAUAUAGUCUUCCGCUGAGUAAGUAAGUCAAACCAAGGGUUCAUUUGGGGCCAGCAAUGGUUCUCGAGUGCCAGCCACGUCCAGGGUGUAGGCUCGGGGCGUGACAGGACUAAUUCUUUAGUCUAGAAGUAACCCGAGAUAGGGCAAGUGAUGAUCCAUGCACUAGUCAUUCGGGGACGAACGAGGGGUAAAUUGGUAUCUAUUGUAAUGACUCAAACCGUCAUUAAUUUGGAAAAACAAAAAUUUGAGAAAAUUACUAGGCCACUGUCCUGCCAGGGCGGGCCAAAUACCGCUAGGGCGGCGGCUCCAUGGCGGGGUAAGCUGGCGUCAGAGCGGGAUAGGUCAGACAGAAUGUAAAUAACGUGAAAUCUUAUUUCUCCUUCUUCCUAGAAUACCUAAUUUAGACGUAAACCACCCUAGAAACCCCCAAAAAGCUGCUCUAAGCUUGGGAAGAAAGGAGAAGGAGAUUUCUAGCGUAAGGAGGUCGAGGGAUUGCAGAUUUCCGGCCAAGAUUCAUGAAGUCCAGAAACAAGAAUCGCAGCCAUAAUUCCGUGCAGCUGCUUGGCGCCCAUGUAGGCUAGGUUUUAUUAAUUGAGUAGUAUAAAUUUGUGCCCACUGCGUAGUAUAAUGAUAAUCAAUGGUAGGAUUCAUGCGCAGGCCUUAGAUAAUGAACUAGGGCUGAGUAUGAUCGAGUUGUUAUUUAAGUGAUAUAUGUUGAGGUAUACUUCUAGGUGAUGGUUGUGAUUUCAUGUUGUGUGAGUUUGUUCGUUCUUGCUUCAUUAUAAUACAUGUAUGUAUGUGAAUGUUGCAUUAUUGAUCACACUAGUUGUAAUGAGAUAGAUGAAUGAUGAAUGCCAUGAAUCAUGACUUAAUGUAUGAUUAUGAGAAUAUACUUGUGAUUGUGAUUGUGGCUUGUUGAAUGGGUCGGGUGUUGCAUUUUGACACACUAACUUGGAUCGAUUGCCAUGUUUUCGGCAUAAUUAUGGGAUCGGUUGCCACGUUCUGGCAUAAUUAUUGGAUUGGGUACCACGUUCCGGUAUGCUAACAGUUUGGGUUUGGGUCCCAUGAGAGGACCAAUGACUUGACAUAAUUGUAUAUCUUGAAAUGGUGAAGUUGUGCAUGGUUCAUAAGUGAUAUUUGAUGUUGUUUCCCCGGAAUUGUAAAUGAUUAUGAUGACUUAUUUAUGUUUGUUCUACUAUGUUGAUUUAACCGUUAUGUAUCUCAUUGUUGAAUGAAACUGAAAGGGACAAGGGUUCAAGAGUGUUAAUGUUGAGAGACAGGGGUUGUCUGUAUGUUGCAAGGGUGAGAAGUUGAGGUAGUGUACAUGAUGUAAAUACUUAGGUGGAUUUCACCUUGGAGAAAGGAGUUCGUGGCUAGUAGUUAGAAAGCUUGAUAUAAGGUACCAUGUGGCAAAGGCUGGGUAAUAUAAAAGAGGAAGUAAGGGUAUGUAGUGGAUGGUUAGUCGGAAUGCUUGUAGUAAUAUUCAUGGUCUCUUCUAUGCGUUAGAAUGGUUAGGCCAUGAUCAAGAAUCUAGUAAGUAGGUUGAAUGAGGAGGUGGUUAGUAGUAAGGGUACUGGGGUAAUUCUGAGGUAUUCAAGAGAGGGUAAAGGUGGAGAAGUGAGUGGUUUAUUGCAUGUUCUUGCUAGUUGAUUACUUAUGUUAUGCAGUAGGCGUCGGGUUGAUCGAUGAUGCCUACCAGUACGUGUGGUUUGUACUGAUACUAUUCUUGUCAUGCCUUUUGGCAUAGUCUGGAUGCAGGUCAAUGAUGUUUCAUUAAGUGAAGACGAAGAAAUCUCCAGCAGCUUCUAUUUUUCCUUCCGCAUGGUGGGAGCUAUGUCUUUUAUCUAUUAUGUCCUGUUUGUACUCUUAGUAGCUCUUGUACCUGUUUCGGCUAGAUCCUUGGAGUGUUAAUUACUUUGCAAGUUUAAACCGGAAUUGUUCUAAAAAGUUCUUAUUUAUAAAACCUUGUUUUUUUUCCUUCAUUUAUUUAUUUAAUCUUCUGCAUGUUUUAACUAUUGGGAUAUGAGGGUUCUCCUACUUAGGUGUUAGAGUAGGUGCCCGCACGCCCCGGUGGGUUGGGUCGUGACACAAUCUCCAUAUAUAUGUAGAUUUUUUGAUAAAAUUUACAAAGAAGGGCCUUAAAUGCCCCUCAAUUAUCAUUUCAAAGUAUAUAACCGCAAGUAGUAGUACUUAUUAACAGAAUAUUAAAGAGACAAUCUCCAUAUAUAUGUAGAUUUUUGAUAAAAUUUACGGAAAAGGGCCAAAAAUGCCCCUCAAUUAUUUCAUUUGGUACAAAAUUACCCUCCAUCCACCUUUCGGCCUUAAAAUACCCCUGACAUUCAUCUUAUUUUUAAUAGCUCCCUUAAAGUAAAACUAUUAAAUAUUUACUUAUUAUGUUACUUAAUAUGUUGGUCCAAAUUUAAACCCUUCUCAAAUAAAUAACAAAAAUCAUAUUUUUAAAUAUUUUUUUUAUGAAACCACAUAUGAUUCAUAUUUUGACUCGAUACACUUGAUAAUAAUAUUGAAAAAAAAAAUUAAUUUCAUGAUAUCUUCCUAUUGAUGUGUUUAAUAUCAACCCCAAUUUAUUAUAACGUAACUCAACUCAAAAAUGGGAUCCAACUAAAAUUCAUACUCACCCUGACAAAUUGUCCAUCUAAAAAUAAAUAUUAUUUUUAUUAAUAUAAAAUUUUCUAUCAAUUAUCCAAAUGUCUUGUUCAUUUUCUCUUUUAUUCUUUUUUUAAAUCUCUUAUUCUUAAUUAGGAUAUCCAGGAAUCAAAUUUGAAAUGAACUCACAUGUUUAUAUUCUUUUAAUUUGUAGUAUUGUUAUGGUGGGGUGAGAGUGGGGAUAAGAGAAAUAAUUAUUUUUAUUCUUUUAUAUUGAAUUUUGGGUACACACAAAAGAAACAUGCAAUAUUCGAAUAUAUUUGCUUAAUUAAGUCAUCUUUUAUUAAACUAAUUAUUUCUAUAUGAAUGCAUCAUUAUUUUCCUCCUUUUUUCUCUCUUGUUUGUAAUAAAUUGAAAAAAAUAAAAUUUAAAAUGCUGGACAAGAUGCAAAUAAAAAAAAAGGAAGAGAUAAAAAGUGGGGGGGAGGGGGGAGGGUAGAGAGUAGAUGCCUAACUUUUUUUAAUUUUAAUUUACAAUGAAUUCAAAAUCAAGUCAAUCAUGUGAGCUUAUAUAUUAAGUAAUUUCAAAUUAUUUUAACGGAAACUGGCCUAAAAUACCCUUAAACUAUGAGAUUUGAUACAAUAUUGUCCUCCAUCCACCUUAUGAAUAUGAUCCGUUAGAAUAAGGGUAUUUUUGAGCCAAAAGGUUGAAGUCAGAAGUAUUUGGGGGCCCAAAUAUGGAUGAAGGGUAGUUUUAAGUUUUAUAUCAAUUUAAAUAGUUGAGAGACAUUUUAGACCCUUCUCCGAAGAAUUUAUUACUAACUUAACCCGUUGAAGUUAUUUUUAUUUAUUCAUUGUGAUAGACAAUUUAUUGUUUUUUCAAUCACAAAUCUCACGUUUUUUAAUGAAAAGAUAUUUAUUAUUAUAUUCUAAGUACCUUAAUAAUGUAAAAAGUUUUAUACUAUAUAUAUAUUAUAUAAAGAAAAGUUAAACUCUAAUAUACCAAGUAAAUAUAUAUCUUUUUCUAUUCGAGUCAUAAUAAUAUAUUAAUUUACAUAAUCUCAAAAAUUUGAUGCAAGAAGAUAUAGAGUUGACAUUAUAUUUCUUUAGAUUAAAAAGAAGAUGAGGGUUGUCAUAGUUUUAGCUCAAACUCAAUUAGUAUCUUAAAAGUUUUAUUAAAUAAGUAUAAAUUAUUAAUUUUGAAUCUAUCAACUUAAAUAUGUUACUCCCUUAAGUUAUAUUAAAUGAUUAAUGAUGUUUGAAGGUUAGAUAAAUUUGAAAAAAAACGUGCGAAACAUCCUUUAAAAAAAAAAGAGAAGAAAUGUCCAAUUAUAACUGUCUAAAAUAAUAUUAACAAGUACAUACAUAUCUUCUACGUGAUUUCCAAUUUAUUUGAUUUCACACUUUCUUCUGCAUCCAGCCCCCCACUUUUGACUAUUCAUAAAUACUACCUUUUUUUUUUUCUAUAUACAAACUAUACAUAAAACCCCCUAAAUUGCCUCAUCAAACUCAUCAUCUAUUGUUCUAUAUCCAAAAAAAAUAUGCAAAGAAACAAACUAAGUCAAGAAUCCAAGUGAAAAUAGUUGUUACAUUCAAGUUAUUUAGAUAUGAAAGCAGAAGGUUAUUUGUUGUCACUCAAGAUGCUAAACAAGAACAAUAAUGGAAAUAUUAGCGCGCCUAAACGUGUUAGCAAUGUUGGUGGUUCUCAAGAUGAAAAUAAUUGUAGUACUAAGGCAUCAUCGUUGAGGUUGAGAUUCAAGAAUUCGUGUUUGAGGAAGAAGAAGAGAAUAAACAAAUUGCGCAAUUGGUUCAUUGACUCAAUUUUAUUCAAGAUUGUCUCUCUUUUUGAAGCAAUUGUUCUGGUUUCUACCUUAGCUUUCUUCUUAUUCUCUUAUGGUUUUCGUAUUUGAUUCUUAUUUAUAUAUAUAUUCUCUGUAAACCAAUGGUUCAUUAUUAUUGGACAAAAGUUGAUAUGUAAUGGGGUGUAAGGUUUCAUUUGUUUUAUUAAUUUAGUUCUCUUUAUUGAUAUUUCUCGUGUUUAUAUAAACUAGGAUUCCCAUUUUGGCGUUUAGUUUUUCGAUUUAGACAUUUUCUUUAUUUUUUCAUGACUCAAUAAAUACAUAAUUCAAUAAAUAAGUAAAUAACUUAUAUAUAAUGACAUUUUGAUUGGUAAUGGUAAGGUUUUUCAAGAACUCAAGUUCUUAGCUUGAAUGAAGAUUUUGAACUGUUUUUGAGUCGAAAUGAUUAUUUUCACCAAUGAGUUCCUAAAGCUUUGAGUAUUGCUUUCAAGUAUUAAAUUUCGAAUUCAAACCUUCCUUUUGAAAUUGAGUUUGAGUGAAUUGACCCAUUGUUCUAAGCAAUUGAUGUGGGUAUUGUUGUUUUCGGAAAGUGAUUGUGAAUAUAUACUUGCUUGUAUAUAGAUUGUGUAGCUUUGGAAGUGAUUCGGAAGGGAAGACCCAACUAUACCUCUAGCUAUUGUUAUACAAAUGACUCACAUAUACCUUUUACCUCUAACAGAAAUAAAAAAUAUUAAUUUUUAUUAAGUGUUUUAUUAAAAAAAUCCAUGUAGCACUACAACAAAAACAACUUUUAGCGAUAAUAAAUAGACAUAUUAAUAAAGAGUGUUAAAGUAUUUACCGGCAUUAGUUAAGUGUCAUUAGAUGCAGUGUCACUAAAGGCUUUAGGGACAUAUACAAAGAGUGUUAAUUACUGCUAAAAAUACAUAUUUAUCGGCAAUUGAGCUAUUGUCGUUAAUUAAUUGUCGCUAAAAAUCAUUUUUGAUGUAGUGUAGGGGUAUAUUUAAUCCUUCUGACACAUUUCUUUUCACCUUUUUAAUUCAAUGCCUAAUUUAAAUUUAUUAUUUUGAUGGUCAAAUUUUUUUUUCCACUUAUUUUUUUGUAAAAUUUAUUAUAGCUGCCCCUAUUUAUGUUACAGGUAUAAAAAAACUAAAUUACAAUAUGGCCGUAAAAAGUUAGUUUUAAUUUUUUUUUCUCUUUUUUCAUUUCUUUCUUUUUAUUUUAAUUUUAAUUUUUUACGCUAAAGAAUGAAAGAAUAAAUGAAAUAAGAUAAGAAACUCAAAUAAUAAUAAUAAUCAGAGAAGUUAAAAAGUAAUUUAUGUGUGAAAAAAUCAAAUACAUAAAUAUUAAAAAUAAUAAAAAAUUAAAUUAUUAUUUUCACUUUUGUAACGGUAGGGAUAUAUGUGAGUAAAUUUUGUAAUAAUAGAUGUAUGUAUGAUCCACUUUUACAACGAGAGUUAUAUCAGCUCUAAAUGACAAAGUUAACGGUAUACUAGACACUUUUCCCUUAUAUGUAAUUAGUUACACUCUAUUAUAACAAAUAAAUAUAUAUCUUUUAUAUUUGAGCAACAAAUAGAAUAAUAAUAUUUUAAUUUACAUAAUCUAAAAAAAAUUGGUGCGAGGGCAAAUAUAAAUUAUUAAUUUUGAAACUAUCAAAUUUAAAAUAUUACUCUCCAAUCUGUACUAAGUGAUGUUUUUAGCUUAAACCUAUUCAGGAGAGAAGGUGUGAAACCUAAAAGGAGGAGGAAGACUCCGCUUCAAUUCAACGUUCUAAAAUAAUAAUAUUGACAAGCACUUACACACAUCUUCUACGUAAUUUCCCAAUUUCUUGUAUUAAGUGAACGUAUUCUACACUUAAGUCAUGCUAUUCAUACUCGCUUCUACACUACACCCCUCACAUUUUGAUUUUUCAUAAAUACCUUGAUUAUUUCACAAUCUUAUUUAUAUAUAUAGAUAUACCAAAACCCCUCAUUGGCUCAUCAAACUCAUCAUCUAUUAUUCUAUCCUAAGAAAAUAUCACAAACUAUUUAGUCUAAGAAUUAUAUUGAUUUGAGUGCUUAUAUAUACGACGUCAUAUUUAAUCUCAAAGGUCAAUUAAAUAUUUAAUUGUUGAUGCAUUCAAGUUAUUUUGAUAUGAAAGUGGGCAAUUACUUAUUCUCAAACAAGAAUAAUGAUAGGAAUAGUGAUGAUGAUAAUAAUUCUAGGAAUUAUAAGGCAUCAUCAUUGAGGUUGAGAUUCAAAAAUUCGUGUUUGAGGAAGAAGAAGAGAAUAUACAAAUUGCGUAAUUGGUUUAUUGACUCAAUUUUAUUCAAGAUUGUCUCUAUUUUUUAAGCAAUUGUUAUUGUUUCUACCUUAGCUUUCUACUUAUUCUCUUAUGGUUUUCGUAUUUGAUAUGUUCUCUGUAAACCAAGGGGUUCAUUAUUAUUGGACAAAAGUUGAUAUCUAAUGGGGGUGU